CCUACGGGGUGCAGCAGUGGGGAAUUUUGGACAAUGGGCGCAAGCCUGAUCCAGCUAUUCCGCGUGUGGGAUGACGGCCCUCGGGUUGUAAACCACUUUAGUAGAGAACGAAAAGGAGCUAUCGAAUAAAUAGCUCUGCUGACGGUACUCUAAGAAUAAGCACCGGCUAACUACGUGCCAGCAGCCGCGGUAAUACGUAGGGUGCGAGCGUUAAUCGGAAUUACUGGGCGUAAAGGGUGUGCAGGCGGCUGAGUAAGACAGAUGUGAAAUCCCCGGGCUUAACCUGGGAACCGCAUAUGUGACUGCUUGGCUAGAGUGCGUCAGAGGGAGGUGGAAUUCCAGGUGUAGGAGUGAAAUCCGUAGAUAUCUGGAGGAACAUCAGUGGCGAAGGCGACUAUCUGGCACAUAACUGACGCUGAGGAGCGAAAGCGUGGGUAGCAAACAGGAUGAGAUACCCCUGUAGUC
rnacentral:rRNA from 1 species